UAGGGAAUCUUCGGCAAUGGACGAAAGUCUGACCGAGCAACGCCGCGUGAGUGAAGAAGGUUUUCGGAUCGUAAAACUCUGUUGGUAGAGAAGAACGUUGGUGAGAGUGGAAAGCUCAUCAAGUGACGGUAACUACCCAGAAAGGGACGGCUAACUACGUGCCAGCAGCCGCGG
rnacentral:rRNA from 1 species